rnacentral:tRNA from 1 species
GGUUUGGUAGCUCAGUUGGUAGAGCAGAUGACUGAACAUCAUCGUGUCGGUAGUUCGAUUCUACCCCGAACCA